rnacentral:rRNA from 1 species
AACGAACGCUGGCGGCAUGCCUAACACAUGCAAGUCGAACGAGACCUUCGGGUCUAGUGGCGCACGGGUGCGUAACGCGUGGGAACCUGCCCUUAGGUUCGGAAUAACUCCCCGAAAGGGGUGCUAAUACCGGAUAAUGUCUUCGGACCAAAGAUUUAUCGCCUUUGGAUGGGCCCGCGUGGGAUUAGCUAGUUGGUAGGGUAAAAGCCGAACAAGGCGACGAUUCAUAGCUGGUCUGAGAGGAUGAUCAGACACACUGGGACUGAGACACGGCCCAGACUCCUACGGGAAGCAGCAGUGGGGAAUAUUGGACAAUGGGCGAAAGCCUGAUCCAGCAAUGCCGCGUGAGUGAUGAAGGCAUUAGAGUUGUAAAGCUCUAUUACCCGGGAUGAUAAUGACAGUACCGGGACAAUAAGCCACGGCUAACUCCGUG